rnacentral:rRNA from 3 species
GGACUACUGGGGUUUCUAAUCCCGUUUGCUACCCUAGCUUUCGCGCCUCAGCGUCAGAUGGGGUCCAGCAACGCGCUUUCGCCACCGGCGUUCCUACCAAUAUCAACGCAUUUCACCGCUCCACUGGUCGUUCCCGUUGCCCCUACCCCCCUCGAGCCCUAGCCGUAUCCGAGGCCCUUUUCCGGUUAAGCCGAAAGAUUUCACCCCGGACUCGCUUGGCCGCCUACGCGCCCUUUAAGCCCAGUGAUUCCGAACAACGUUCGCACGGUUCGUCUUACCGCGGCUGCUGGCAC